rnacentral:rRNA from 1 species
GUGUCAGCCGCCGCGGUAAUACGUAGGUGGCGAGCGUUAUCCGGAUUUACUGGGCGUAAAGGGAGCGUAGGCGGAUGAUUAAGUGGGAUGUGAAAUACCCGGGCUCAACUUGGGUGCUGCAUUCCAAACUGGUUAUCUAGAGUGCAGGAGAGGAGAGUGGAAUUCCUAGUGUAGCGGUGAAAUGCGUAGAGAUUAGGAAGAACACCAGUGGCGAAGGCGACUCUCUGGACUGUAACUGACGCUGAGGCUCGAAAGCGUGGGGAGCAAACAGGAUUAGAUACCCUGGUAGUCCACGCCGUAA